UCUGUGGUGGAUAGUGGAGUGUUUCCCAUGUGGUAUUGGUGUGCUGGAUAUCCCUUCACUGGUAGCCUGGUAACAUACACUCCCAGGUCUUUCUCUGCCUCUGUGGUGGAUAGUGGAGUGUUUCCCAUGUGGUAUUGGUGUGCUGGAUAUCCCUUCACUGGUAGCCUGGUAACAUACACUCCCAGGUCUUUCUCUGCCUCUGUGGUGGAUAGUGGAGUGUUUCCCAUGUGGUAUUGGUGUGCUGGAUAUCCCUUCACUGGUAGUCUGGUAACAUACACUCCCAGGUCUUUCUCUGCCUCUGUGGAUAGUGGAGUGUUUCCCAUGUGGUAUUGGUGUGCUGGAUAUCCCUUCACUGGUAGCCUGGUUACAUACACUCCCAGGUCUUUCUCUGCCUCUGUGGUGGAUAGUGGAGUGUUUCCCAUGUGGUAUUGGUGUGCUGGAUAUCCCUUCACUGGUAGCCUGGUAACAUACACUCCCAGGUCUUUCUCUGCCUCUGUGGUGGAUAGUGGAGUGUUUCCCAUGUGGUAUUGGUGUGCUGGAUAUCCCUUCACUGGUAGCCUGGUAACAUACACUCCCAGGUCUUUCACUGCCUCUGUGGUGGAUAGUGGAGUGUUUCCCAUGUGGUAUUGGUGUGCUGGAUAUCCCUUCACUGGUAGCCUCGUAAA